AUUGAACGCUGGCGGCAGGCCUAACACAUGCAAGUCGAGCGAAUGAAGGGAGCUUGCUCCUGGAUUCAGCGGCGGACGGGUGAGUAAUGCCUAGGAAUCUGCCUGGUAGUGGGGGAUAACGUCCGGAGACGGGCGCUAAUACCGCAUACGUCCUGAGGGAGAAAGUGGGGGAUCUUCGGACCUCACGCUAUCAGAUGAGCCUAGGUCGGAUUAGCUAGUUGGUGGGGUAAAGGCCUACCAAGGCGACGAUCCGUAACUGGUCUGAGAGGAUGAUCAGUCACACUGGAACUGAGACACGGUCCAGACUCCUACGGGAGGCAGCAGUGGGGAAUAUUGGACAAUGGGCGAAAGCCUGAUCCAGCCAUGCCGCGUGUGUGAAGAAGGUCUUCGGAUUGUAAAGCACUUUAAGUUGGGAGGAAGGGCAGUAAGUUAAUACCUUGCUGUUUUGACGUUACCAACAGAAUAAGCACCGGCUAACUUCGUG
rnacentral:rRNA from 1 species